UACGUAGGGGGCAAGCGUUGUCCGGAAUCAUUGGGCGUAAAGAGCGUGUAGGCGGCCUGGUAAGUCCGCUGUGAAAGUCCAGGGCUCAACCCUGGAAUGCCGGUGGAAACUGUCAGGCUCGAGUCCGGAAGAGGCGAGUGGAAUUCCUGGUGUAGCGGUGAAAUGCGUAGAUAUCGGAAGGAACACCAGUGGCGAAAAGCGGCUUCCUGGUCCAGCACCGACGUCAGGCACGGAAAGCGUGGGGAGCAAACAGG
rnacentral:rRNA from 1 species